rnacentral:rRNA from 1 species
UACGUAGGGGGCAAGCGUUGUCCGGAAUCAUUGGGCGUAAAGCGCGUGUAGGCGGCCCGGUAAGUCCGCUGUGAAAGUCGGGGGCUCAACCCUCGAAUGCCGGUGGAUACUGUCGGGCUAGAGUGCGGAAGAGGCGAGUGGAAUUCCUGGUGUAGCGGUGAAAUGCGCAGAUAUCAGGAGGAACACCAAUUGCGAAGGCAGCUCGCUGGGACGUGACUGACGCUGAGACGCGAAAGCGUGGGAGCAAACAGG